rnacentral:misc_RNA from 1 species
GAAACACAGUAUUACCAUUAACAAACCUCUUUAUCACAAAAGCAAGUUCAAAAAGAAACAUAUACACCCAAUAAACACAGCACACAAUUACACAAGCUUUCAUGCUUUAGAUUAUUUUGAUGGAAUCCAAAAACUGUGUGAAGGUGAAGACCAGGAGUGCAAUUGCAGCAAUUGUUCCAGUGCCUCUCCACAUGUUGCUGAAAUACACAUUUUUCAGUGUCGACACACGUCGACGCAUUGAAUCAUCGCAGUACUCAUUCAACCUCACACUCAGAUCGUACAAAGAAGAUCCAUUUGCAGUAAUUUCUAAACGAAGUUUAUUCACCAAUUUGGCCACUCUUUUGUUGUCUCCUAGCUGGUUCACAAUGAUCCCAUUUUGAACAAGCAAAUCCACAUCCUUCUCUGUAUUGAUCAGAAAAUCAAGUAUCAAAACGUAAUCGCAUAUCAAUGGCUCGUUUGGAUAGUGACAUUGCUCGAAAGCCAUCAGGUUUCUAAUCAAACGCGCUGUGUUAUCUGCUGCAAGGAAUGUUCGCAUUUUUAACUCUCCCCUUUCGAAUUUUAUGUCGAUUGGACUUAGCCUUGCAGUCGCCUUAAACUUCACUCCUACUUCAUGCAACACAGUGGCAUUGUAUAGAUUCGUGACUGAGUAAUGAUAAUCCCCCAUUUGAUCCCCGCGAGAUCGAUGUGUUCGACCAUAAUCAGUAAAGUGUAGGGGCGUCACCGGAUGGUCUUCUUCUUCGUAUUCAUCCUCUUCUUCUCCUCCUCCAUCCUUGUGCCAGUGAGAGGUGAAGCGUCUAGUAAUCCCGAAACAAAACAAGCGAGAGACGUAAGUACACUGAUUUUUACUUUCUUUAGUUUCUGAAGGGGAAAAGGGGUCCACUAGAAAUAAGUAUUCUAGUAAGUUAUAGCGCAUAAGGCUAUAGAAAGAAGGAAAUACUUCUGUACUAGGUAAGCGGAUAGAGAAUUCAUAUAAAUCGUCAAGAACAAAGUAAGGCAGCUGAUUUUCGACCAAUAUUAAAUCCCAAAAUAAACCAUCUUCCCUUGUUGAUUGUCCAAGAAUAAAAUCAUCUUCGUAUCCAUGCAUUGUUUCUCUAUUUGUUAUCAAAUUAUUUUUUUCUGCCCUCCUCAAGAAGAGCUCGAUGAUGAACACAGAAUCCAGGAGAAUCAU